CUCUGCUGGUCACCCGGAAUGCAGGACAGCCACUUCCUCCUGCCCCACUCCGAAGGCAGCCCAGAAGUGCUCUGGGGCGCAGGCUCUGCACCCUGGCUGCCCAGGUCCUCAUCCCAGGGUCAUGUCCAGGCACUACUCUCCCUGUGGGCCUCAGGCUUCCCAUCCAUCCAAUGGGGCUGCAGUGAGUAUUAGAUGAGUUAAUCUGUGCUAGUGGAUGAGUAUUAGCUGUGAGAUGAUUCACUGCCCAUCAUCUCAGGGCCCUCGAGUGACCCUGUGGGGUAACUAAAGCGUCCCCCUUUAUUUCUAUGGUUAAGAUGGCGAUGUGCCCCAUUAUUUAUUUACUCUCUUGCCGUGAUCAUUGGCACCCUUUUGUUCCUGGAGCGAGGGAUCACCCUUCCAUCCUCAAAGUGGUCAACUUCUCAGCAUUCCCAGCCUGACUCCAUCCUCCAGGGGACUCUCCUGCACCGGCCCCAUGGGAGGGGGGCACCAGAUGCUUGGGUGGGAGGGUCCAGAGGUGGGAAUUCAAGUCAGGGUCAUGGAGUCAUAGCUCAGGGACAAGACCAGAGAUUGGCAUGGAGUCUAGCACCUGGGAGGAACUGGAGAAUUAAUGACAGAAUGGAGGGGCCCUGGGCUCAGGGGCCCUCAGAUUUAUCUUAUGCAAAUGAGCUUGGGGUCAGAGGUCAGGACAGAUGGGGCCAGGUAAUGCUGGCCAGUGAUCAGCGCUGUGACUAGGGCUGGUUCUGGGUACGAUGGGGACCCCAAGGCUGGCAGGUCCAGCAGGGCAGCCAGCCUUCCCUGAGUUUGAGCCCCAAACCUCAGCAAGGGGCCUUGUGACACAAAGCCCCACCCACCCCAGUCACUCCAUUCUGUCUCCCGACUUGCGCCCCAAUUCACAGCUCUGUCCUGCGAGCCCACGCCCCCUGCACUGAUGUUCAGGGAGUAGAGGAAUGUGUGUGUGCGUGUGUAUAAGUGAUCGCACACACCAUGCACAUACCCACUGUGCACACAUGCACACACAUGCAGAUAUGCACUUGAGGAAGAGGGGACAUUCUCCAUGCUUGGGACAAGGUCCGGGACCCUGGAUGGAGUGCAAAGGAAUCUGGCAGCAGAGGUGUCUACUGGCAGGGUGGCAAGGAGCCGUGGCCACUGGUGCCCUCAGGAAAGAGGGGCCAAGUGGCCAAAGGAUUGAAGCUGCUCCUGCUUCACUCCCCACCUGGACUCUGAUGCUGAGAACGGGAUGGGGACAAAGGGGUCGUUGACCCUGCAAGAGCCACAUUCUCCAAUACACCAGAGCAACCUGCCCAGCUCUGCACGGACCUGCUGUGUGAGCUUGGAGAAGUAACUGAACCCCUCUGAGCUUCCAUUUCCUUAUUGGAUGACCUGGGGUCUUGGAAGAGAGACCUGAGACCAAGCCUGGCACAGUGUAGAGCAGAUAGCUGGUGCUCUGUCACUCAGAGCUCGCUCUGCCAGCCUUCUCUGCUCCUCCCACCCGAGCUUCACACCUGGUUCAGACACUCAGGGAUGCACAGGGCACCUGAGCUUGGGGUGUGGCCUCUGUGCACUGCCUUUCCU
rnacentral:lncRNA from 1 species